GGGGAAUCUUCCGCAAUGGGGGCAACCCUGACGGAGCAACGCCGCGUGAGGGAGGAAGGCCUGUGGGUUGUAACCUCUUUUCUCUGGGAAGAAGCUCUGACGGUACCAGAGGAAUCAGCAUCGGCUAACUCCGUGCCAGCAGCCGCGGUAAGACGGAGGAUGCAAGCGUUAUCCGGAAUUAUUGGGCGUAAAGCGUCCGUAGGCGGCUGUUCAAGUCUGCUGUUAAAGGCCAGGGCUCAACUCUGGAUAGGCAGUGGAAACUGAGCAGCUAGAGUUCGGUAGGGGUAGAGGGAAUUCCCAGUGUAGCGGUGAAAUGCGUAGAUAUUGGGAAGAACACCAGUGGCGAAGGCGCUCUACUGGGCCGAGACUGACGCUGAUGGACGAAAGCUAGGGGAGCGAAUGGGAUUAGAUACCCCAGUAGUCCUAGCUGUAAACGAUGGACACUAGGUGUUGGCCGUAUCGACCCGGUCAGUAUCGAAGCAAACGCGUUAAGUGUCCCGCCUGGGGAGUACGCACGCAAGUGUGAAACUCAAAGGAAUUGACGGGGGCCCGCACAAGCGGUGGAGUAUGUGGUUUAAUUCGAUGCAACGCGAAGAACCUUACCAGGGUUUGACAUCCUACGAACCUUUCUGAAAGGAGAGGGUGCCUUCGGGAGCGUAGAGACAGGUGGUGCAUGGCUGUCGUCAGCUCGUGUCGUGAGAUGUUGGGUUAAGUCCCGCAACGAGCGCAACCCACGUCCUUAGUUGCCAUCAUUAAGUUGGGCACUUUAGGGAGACUGCCGGUGACAAACCGGAGGAAGGUGUGGAUGACGUCAAGUCAUCAUGCCCCUUACAUCCUGGGCUACACACGUACUACAAUGCUACGGACAGAGGGCAGCGAGCCAGCGAUGGUAAGCAAAUCCCAUAAACCGUGGCACAGUUCAGAUUGCAGGCUGCAACUCGCCUGCAUGAAGGCGGAAUCGCUAGUAAUCGCAGGUCAGCAUACUGCGGUGAAUACGUUCCCGGGCCUUGUACACACCGCCCGUCACACCAUGGGAGUUGGCCACGCCCGAAGUCGUUACUCCAACCUUUCGGGGAGGAGGACGCCGAAGGCAGGGCUGAUGACUGGGGUGAAGUCGUAACAAGGUAACCGUA
rnacentral:rRNA from 1 species